rfam:Oryza glaberrima chromosome 5 Oglab05_0149_18, whole genome shotgun sequence.
AAUAAGUGCAGUUUUGCACUAUUCAUGUCUCACGUUUGACCAUUCGUUUUAUUUAAAAUUUUUCUACAAUUAAUAUUUUUAUUGUUAUUAGACGAUAAAACAUGAAUAAUACUUUAUGUGUGACUAACUUAUUUUAAUUUUCUCAUAAAAUUUUUAAAUAAGACAGACGGUCAAACGUUGAACAUAGAUUCCUACAGCUGCACUUAUU